rnacentral:rRNA from 1 species
UGGUGGGUAGUUUGACUGGGGCGGUCUCCUCCUAAAGAGUAACGGAGGAGCACGAAGGUUGGCUAAUCCUGGUCGGACAUCAGGAGGUUAGUGCAAUGGCAUAAGCCAGCUUGACUGCGAGCGUGACGGCGCGAGCAGGUGCGAAAGCAGGUCAUAGUGAUCCGGUGGUUCUGAAUGGAAGGGCCAUCGCUCAACGGAUAAAAGGUACUCCGGGGAUAACAGGCUGAUACCGCCCAAGAGUUCAUAUCGACGGCGGUGUUUGGCACCUCGAUGUCGGCUCAUCACAUCCUGGGGCUGAAGUAGGUCCCAAGGGUAUGGCUGUUCGCCAUUUAAAGUGGUACGCGAGCUGGGUUUAGAACGUCGUGAGACAGUUCGGUCCCUAUCUGCCGUGGGCGCUGGAGAACUGAGGGGGGCUGCUCCUAGUACGAGAGGACCGGAGUGGACGCAUCACUGGUGUUCGGGUUGUCAUGCCAAUGGCACUGCCCGGUAGCUAAAUGCGGAAGAGAUAAGUGCUGAAAGCAUCUAAGCACGAAACUUGCCCCGAGAUGAGUUCUCCCUGAGACUUAGAGUCUCCUGAAGGAACGUUGAAGACGACGACGUUGAUAGGCCGGGUGUGUAAGCGCAGCGAUGCGUUGAGCUAACCGGUACUAAUGAAC